UCCCUGCUAAUUAGAUUCAAUGACCAUACAGAAUUCUGAUGAUGUUCCGACAAGAAGGCUGCCGUGGUUGUAGACUACGGUGGACGAAGACACAAGAAGCAAUACAUGCAUACGUAAUCUUAUAUUCAUGCUUGCGCACGUAUAGAUGUCUAGAUCUUGGAUGUAGACUUAACAAUUUCGAAACGAAAUCGAAGGUGUAUGACCAUUACUAGGGGUCUGGAUAAACAAAUAUAAGGAAUAAAACUAAAUCAGUUUAAAUGUACAAAAGUGCAGGAAAAAAAACUACCUUGAUACCAAAGUCCCAAUAAAAAAGAUGAAAACAUAAGAAUGUAAUGCACUUAUCCCGAAUACAAAUCUCCGAAUAAAUUCUUGUCGUGUUCAAGAGUUACCUGCAUACCUAUAGCCCUCGCUGGUUAAACAAAUGACAAACAAGUGUAGCGGACAUUCCAAUUACAAGGAUUGAUGUUCCUUUUAAUGCGAAGUGCACGUGUAAAUUUGACAAACUAAUGUGAAAUUAAUGGCCAAUAUCACUGAAGAGUAAUCAUUGCCCUUAAAUGGAACGUUGUCAGACUAUAUUAGGAAUACGUACUCUCUGAUCUAUGAUAUGCAACAGUAAACAGUCAGCACCUAUACUCGCCCUGUUCAAGAAAGUCUUCACUGCUGCUGUUAGAAUAAGUCUAUCUCAUGCCCACAAGACCUCUUGCUCUAGAGAGUAGAGCGUAAGUAGGUCUAGUUACGAAAAGACUUCCGGGCAAUGCAUUCACUCACGCAAUAUCUAAAUCAUGACUUCUUGCUCGUGCGUGCGAUCGCGUUUUAAUCUAUAGCUAAUGAAGAAAAUAACUACGUUUGCAUAUACGUAUCCUACCAAGACCACCGAGAUAGAAGGCCUGUUCGAUGUGACGUCUUGAUCCUACACCUGGUUCCCCCAGCGUCAGUGGCAACCAUCUUGACAUAUUGAUUGAAAGUCAUUUGGUGGUCACUGGACUGCUCUAACCCCGAAAAGAACAUUAGACACUGCUAUAACUUAAAAAAGAAACCAUUAUAUAUUCCGGUCUGGUAGCUCAUUUGGAGUGACGUACAGACGAUGUUCGAGUCUAACAAAAAGUUAACUAGAGCUUCACAGAGUAGCCUACAUGUAGCUCUUAUUUUUGCACAAGAUGAUGGUAAAAACAUUACCUGAUGUCAGUAGUGUAUAUAUAAAUCGUCCCUUCUAAGUUCAAGGAAAACGGGUACCUCAAAUGGGGCGGUUCCUGAAGGAUGGCCUUCGUAACCGAGCCGAUGUUCGUAAUAUCUAGGCUGCCAAAGCCUGCUCUCUUCAGCUAGUCGACUGGGUCUACGCGCCAAAUUUGUUUUUAAAAGUGAAGACCAUCUGGCUGGGCUUACUUCAACUUGUGCAGAAUGGCUUAUGAUGUUUGUGUCCCGCACACUUCCUGCCUAGAAUUCUGAGCAGGAUCAGCAUUAGUA